UUAGCACCUUAAAGACCAACUAAGUUAGUUCUUGGUAUGAGCUUUCGUGUGCAUGCAUCUGUGCAUGCAUGUGUGUAUCUGAAGAAGUGUGCAUGCACACGAAAGCUCAUACCAAGAACUAACUUAGUUGGUCUUUAAGGUGC
rnacentral:snoRNA from 1 species